ACAGUCUGUGGCUCAGUGGUAGGACAUUUGCCUCUCAUGCAGAAGGUCCCAGGCUCAAUCCCUGGCAUCUGCA